rnacentral:rRNA from 1 species
AUGGAGGGGGAGCUCGGGUACCUGUCGCCUGCGGGUUCGUCCUGCGUCUCCACCGAGCGCUUCGGCUGGUCGCCGCGGGAGAAGCUGCUCGACUCCACUCCCUCGUCGCGCGUAUCCGACGGCCGCGGCAAGGGAGGCCUGCUCCGUUCGCCCACAUGGGGGCCAUCACCGACGGAGACGCAGCUCCACUCGCCCUCAUCGUGCGUCUCCGACGACCGCUACAUCUCGCCGCUUCGCAUGUCGGCGGAGCAAGCGAGCGAGGUGCACGAGGCGGAGAGGCUCCUCCGCGCGAUCGCCGACCGCUACGACGACUGCUUCCUGCGCCUGCGCGACGCCACGGCCGAGGUCGCUGACCUCCGCCUCGAGCGCCUCCGCCUCAGAGCGGAGAGCAUGCACCUGUCUCUCCUCCUCGAGGAGCUCGAGGCCGAUCAGGGGAAGCGGGCGAUCGCGCCGGCUCCGACACCACCGCCGAAGCCGACUGAGGAGGUAGCAGCACGCGGGGGCGCGCCGAAGAGCAUCUCCAUCCGUUCCAAGUGCUACCUCUCGCAGGCGAAGCAGCCGCGGGGCGAGGCAGAGGCGCAGCGCCUCCGUGUUCGUCCGCCUCCUGCGAUCGAGGCAGGGGAGGACGAGGCGAAGGGGGAUGGAGAAGUGGUCGAGCUGGAGGCGUACAGGCAGGGCACCCAGAAGACGGAGCUGUGCAACAAGUGGGAGGGCGGCGCCUGCUCCUACGGCGGCCGGUGCCGGUUCGCGCACGGCCUGCAGGAGAUGCGCCCCGUCAUCCGCCACCCGCGCUACAAGACCCUCCCCUGCCAGAUGUUCGCUGCCGCCUCUGGCUGCCCCUACGGCCACCGCUGCCACUUCCGUCACUCGCCAGCGCCCACCGCCCAGUCCUACUAG